rnacentral:rRNA from 1 species
CUCUCAGGGGAGACUGCUUAGUAAGUAGUCCCAGGCCUGGCUGAUACUUGGAUGGGAGACCGCCUCAGAAUCCUGGAUGCCAUAGACU